GCCUAUUUUUUUUGUAAUGAUUCAUUCUUUCAAAAUGGCUCCAGUACGUGGAACGAUCUAUGUGCUCCUCGAUGAAAAAAAAAAUUUGCUAAUUGAUUUUCUGAUAAUAACCUCCAAAAAUAGAAGAAACUAGCUCAACCGGUCUCAGUAGUGGAACGUGCAACUCACAAUUGGCCAAUGAGGUCCAGUACCAAUAUCGUAGAUUGAUUCAAGUGGGACAAAAUGGAGUUUGAAAAAUCGUCCAUUUCCUUGAAGUAGAAUGGGAGACGUAGACGAGUGCACGCUCAAUCAAGGAAACAUCGCUCUCAAGUGUUUGACGAGUUACCUUUUUAUUACUUCGCAGUUUUUGUUCAGUUGAACUACAAACACAGGGAUUCAACUCAUGUCUGACUAGCAUCGUGUUUAGGGGGGAAAAAUAUGCUACACGAUUCGUUGUUACUUAGACCGGUAUUACGAUUACUUUCUUUUGCGAUCAGCACGUUCCUUCCUUAUUCGAGUCGCAAGGGAGCCAAGACAAUUUUUAUCAUUGUCAAUCAAUGUCGUUUACCCUAUCCUAGUUUUCCUGAAAUAAUUAUUUUCGUUAAAAUUACAGUUGCAUUUAUUGUUGAAAGAAAGUGAAAUGGCCACCGAAGACAUUUUCGAAAACACCAACAAACUGCCUGGUAUGAAGAUCAAUGGAUUGAUUAUGUUGCAAAGAUGUCGCAUUCGGAACGGCUUUAAAAAAAUACUAUGGAUUUAGGAAACUUGCGUGGAAACUCGACUUUGUUUCCGAUCGUGGAGGUAAGUCCUGGCUGUUAAGGGAGUUAGCUACGAUGCCGAAAAUUACACUGAAGACUGGGUGUCAGAGCAAUUUCUUCAGCUAAAGGAACAUUAUUCCUUAAUAUCCGUAUUGCCCUACUAUAAGAAGCAUAUAAUAGUUGCCAACAAAUUCAAUUUUUGAUGGCCAACUGGAGUUAGCCAUUUCAACCGUUUGCUGACUUGAUUGGAAAUUAAUUCUGUAGCUUCAUCAUGGCCAAAGCAUGCAAAGAACGUACGAUUGCGUGUUUAUAAACAACGAGCCGAAUAUGGAGGAAGUUCCAUGCCUCGCAAAUGAGUAAACUGUUUGAGCGAUGGGACUUCUAUGCCACACCUAAGGUUCCAGAUUGAAUCGGUUAUACCACAUUGUAUGCAGUUUUAACAUUCUGUCAAGGAUCCUGUCUAGAAAUUGCAUCUGAUUUGAUAGGGAAAAACAGCCAUUAUUUAAAACAGGAUGAAUAGUGGAUGUUUCGUUCUCUGAAUUUUACUCUUUAAGACAAAAUACUUAUUGAUACCGAAAGUCCAUAUUUUGUUUUGUAAGCUGAGCAUUGUGUGAAAAACAGCAAAAGGGGAUUUUCCAAAAGGAAGUGAGCAGGUGUCAUGCUGCUUGUCCAUUAGUUCAUUGGAAUCCAGUUGACAAUCAGUUAGACCAACUUUGCAAGUUUAAUGUUGGUCUUCCGAUGAAUGAAUGAACAUUUAACUUCAUCAGAUUUAAGUGAAAGAAAUAUUGAGGAAAGAACGACUUUGUAAACAACAUCAAUCUUUUUCCUCCAUAUUUUGACCGGAAUAACCAUUAUCAAUCUUUUUGUCCAAAUGCACAACACCGCUGGAAGAAAAGCCGAUACUUGGGACCAUGGUAACGCGAAUUGUGAUGAAUAACUUCGUCUUUAAGUCUGCUGCUUUGCCUUCCCGGUUGCAGUGAAGAAGUAUCAUAGGUCGAAAAUAUUGAAAGGUGGUGCCGUAUUAUGUGUUGCUAUUAAAAUAUGUCUAAUGUGCUGAUGUUAAAGUACGACUUUCCGGAGUUCGUGAUCAGGUCAGAAGUAUUUGCAAAAAGUGCUGCAUCCAAGUAACAGUCCAAGUAAUAGUCUCGCUGGUUAAUCUCCCCGGUGAGUCAACUGAUGUAGGAUUUACCCCUUGGUUGAUGUAAAAAGUUAAAA